GACGAACGCUGGCGGCGUGCUUAACACAUGCAAGUCGAACGGAAAGGCCCUGCUUUUGUGGGGUGCUCGAGUGGCGAACGGGUGAGUAACACGUGAGUAACCUGCCCUUGACUUUGGGAUAACUUCAGGAAACUGGGGCUAAUACCGGAUAGGAGCUCCUGCUGCAUGGUGGGGGUUGGAAAGUUUCGGCGGUUGGGGAUGGACUCGCGGCUUAUCAGCUUGUUGGUGGGGUAGUGGCUUACCAAGGCUUUGACGGGUAGCCGGCCUGGGAGGGUGGACGGCCACAAGGGGACUGAGAGACGGACCAGAGUCCUACGGGGGGCAACAGUGGGGAAUAUUGCACAAUGGGCGGGAGCCUGAUGCAGCAACGCCGCGUGCGGGAAGACGGCCUUCGGGUUGUAAACCGCUUUCGCCUGUGACGAAGCGUUAGUGACGGUAAUGGGUAAAGAAGCACCGGCUAACUACGUG
rnacentral:rRNA from 1 species